GAUGAAGAACGUAGCGAAAUGCGAUAAGUAAUGUGAAUUGCAGAAUUCAGUGAAUCAUCGAAUCUUUGAACGCACCUUGCGCUCCUUGGUAUUCCGAGGAGCAUGCCUGUUUGAGUGUCAUGAAAUUCUCAACCUUUUCAGCUUUCUUUGUUGAUCAGGCUUGGAUGUGGGAGUAUGCGGGCUUCUCAGAAGUCGGCUCUCCUGAAAUGCAUUAGCGGGACCUUUGUUGCCUGGCUUUGUUGUGAUAAUUAUCUACGCCAUUGUAGUCAAGCAGCUUAAAAUGAGGUUUCAGCUUCUAACCGUCUCCCCUGAGACAACUUUUUGACAAUUUGACCUCAAAUCAGGUAGGACUACCCGCUGAACUUAAGCAUAUCAAUAAGCGGAGGA
rnacentral:misc_RNA from 1 species